rnacentral:rRNA from 1 species
ACGCACGCUGGCGGCGUGCUUCACCCCUGCCAGUCGCACGGAAAGGCCUUUUCGGAGGUACUCGAGUGGCGAACGGGUGAGUAACACGUGGGUGAUCUGCCCUGCACUCUGGGAUAAGCCUGGGAAACUGGGUCUAAUACCGGAUAGGACCGCACUUUAGUGUGUGUGGUGGAAAGUUUUUUCGGUGUAGGAUGAGCCCGCGGCCUAUCAGCUUGUUGGUGGGGUAAUGGCCUACCAAGGCGGCGACGGGUAGCCGGACUGAGAGGUUGGUCGGCCACAUUGGGACUGAGAUACGGCCCAGACUCCUACGGGAGGCAGCAGUGGGGAAUAUUGCACAAUGGGCGCAAGCCUGAUGCAGCGACGCCGCGUGGGGGAUGACGGCCUUCGGGUUGUAAACUCCUUUCGCCAGGGACGAAGCGUUUUGUGACGGUACCUGGAGAAGAAGCACCGGCUAACUACGUG